rnacentral:rRNA from 1 species
GACGAACGCUGGCGGCGUGCUUAACACAUGCAAGUCGAAUGGAAAGGCCCUGCUUUUGUGGGGUGCUCGAGUGGCGAACGGGUGAGUAACACGUGAGUAACCUGCCCUUGACUUUGGGAUAACUUCAGGAAACUGGGGCUAAUACCGGAUAGGAGCUCCUGCUGCAUGGUGGGGGUUGGAAAGUUUCGGCGGUUGGGGAUGGACUCGCGGCUUAUCAGCUUGUUGGUGGGGUAGUGGCUUACCAAGGCUUUGACGGGUAGCCGGCCUGAGAGGGUGACCGGCCACAUUGGUACUGAGAUACGGCCCAGACUCCUACGGGAGGCAGCAGUGGGGAAUAUUGCACAAUGGGCGGAAGCCUGAUGCAGCAACGCCGCGUGCGGGAUGACGGCCUUCGGGUUGUAAACCGCUUUCGCCUGUGACGAAGCGUGAGUGACGGUAAUGGGUAAAGAAGCACCGGCUAACUACGUG